rnacentral:rRNA from 1 species
GACGAACGCUGGCGGCGUGCUUAACACAUGCAAGUCGAACGGAAAGGCCCUGCUUUUGUGGGGUGCUCGAGUGGCGAACGGGUGAGUAACACGUGAGUAACCUGCCCUUGACUUUGGGAUAACUUCAGGAAACUGGGGCUAAUACCGGAUAGGAGCUCCUGCUGCAUGGUGGGGGUUGGAAAGUUUCGGCGGUUGGGGAUGGACUCGCGGCUUAUCAGCUUGUUGGUGGGGUAGUGGCUUACCAAGGCUUUGACGGGUAGCCGGCCUGAGAGGGUGAUCGGCCACAUUGGGACUGAGAUACGGCCCAGACUCCUACGGGAGGCAGCAGUGGGGAAUAUUGCACAAUGGGCGGAAGCCUGAUGCAGCAACGCCGCGUGCGGGAUGACGGCCUUCGGGUUGUAAACCGCUUUCGCCUGUGACGAGGCGUGAGUGACGGUAAUGGGUAAAGAAGCACCGGCUAACUACGUG